AUUGAACGCUGGCGGCAGGCUUAACACAUGCAAGUCGAACGAGUGGCGGACGGGUGAGUAAUGCUUGGGAAUCUAGCUUAUGGAGGGGGAUACCUACGGGAAACUGUAGCUACUACCGCUUCCCAUAGGUUGAGCCCAAAUGGGAUUAGGUAGUUGGUGAGGUAAAGGCUCACCAAGCCGACGAUCUCUAGCUGGUCUGAGAGGAUGACCAGCCACACUGGGACGGAUACACGGCCCAGACUCCUACGGGAGGGAGCAGUGGGGAAUAUUGCGCAAGGGGGGAAACCUGACGCAGCCAUGCGGCGUGAAGGAAGAAGGCCUUCGGGUUGUAAAGUUCUUGCGGUAGGGAGGCGUUAACUACAGAAGAAGCACCGGCUAACUCCGGGCCAGCAGCCGCGGUAAUAC
rnacentral:rRNA from 1 species